rnacentral:rRNA from 1 species
AGCAGCCGCGGUAAUUCCAGCUCCAAUAGCGUAUAUUAAAGUUGUUGCAGUUAAAAAGCUCGUAGUUGAAUUUCGGGGUUAGUAGAUCGGUCGUGCCACUGGUAUGUACUGGUCUUACUGAUUCCUCCUUCCUGAUGAACCGUAAUGCCAUUAAUUUGGUGUUGCGGGGAGACUGGACUGUUACUUUGAAAAAAUUAGAGUGUUUAAAGCAGGCUAACGCUUGAAUACAUUAGCAUGGAAUAAUGAAAUAGGACGUUCGAUCCUAUUUUGUUGGUUUCUAGGAUAGACGUAAUGAUUAAUAGGGAUAGUUGGGGGUAUUAGUAUUCAAUUGUCAGAGGUGAAAUUCUUGGAUUUAUUGAAGACUAACUACUGCGAAAGCAUUUGCCAAGGAUGUUUUCAUUAAUCAAGAACGAAAGUUAGGGGAUCGAAGACGAUCAGAUACCGUCGUAG